UCCAUCACUUUUCCUUGACCUAUCUAGCUAUUUGCCUUUAUGAAAUAUCUUUGCGCAAGGUUUAUUAUUUACGAGAUACCCUAGAUAGCGUUUAGAAAAUAGAAUAUAGAAUUUUGGAAGACAAAUAGCUAGAUAGGUCAAGGAAAAGUGAUGGA